UUAGCUUUACCGCGACACUUAAUUAAAAAACACUAACAUUAUCACUUUCCCUCUCUCAACUCGCGAAAUACCCCCUCUCCUUUCUCAUUUUCCCACCUUUCCCACAGAACCCUAAAAAAAUCAACCCCAACCUCCGUCUCGAAAUCCCUAAUACGCUAAUCCAAUUCCGAAAUUAAGGUUGACACAUCCAUUGUUGUCGAUUGUGAAGAUAUCAGAGGUCCAAAUUGGGACAUCUCUGUCGAUUGUUAGCUUAAAUCUAAGAGCUGUUUUGUUGCUUUGCUUUCGUGUUUGCGUUGUAUUGUUAUUUACAUUGAUUCCCUUUAUUAUAUUCUUAACAUCAUUAUACUUGAUUCAUCGUUCUAUGGUUUUCGAUUUAGAGUCAAGGGAUUUGUAGUGAUUUUGUCUCAGCUUGAAUAGCUAGUAUGUAUAUAUUGAGUUAUUGUCUGAUUGUGUAUCUUUUGUGUUUCUUGUUUUGAGUUUGGGUGAUUAUAUUAUGUGUUACCAAGAAAGAAAAAAACGAAGCUUUGUGUGAAUUGGAUUGCUCAUCGGCUUCUUUGUUGUCUUAUGACACAUGCUUGGAUGGGUAAUCACUGUCAAGUUCUGUGUACCAUACUGCUUCUGUGGAUGACGUCUCUCUAUACUUAUCAAUUGAAAAUUUGUUGCUUGUUUGGUAAUAAAGACUCGAGAGUGUUAUGUGAUGGAGAUCGACUUCCAUCCAUCAAGAAUUUUGUAGCUGCUGGUCUCAUUGUUGGACACUUGCAUAUGUAACUCGAAAACCCUUCUCUUUCAAUCCCUUGUUUCUAGUUCCAACAGUUCCAACAAGAAGCACCAAUCAUGUAACCUCGUACUCUGUUUCUGUAUUGUUUGUAGAUACAGAGUAUUCACUUGCCAGGUAAUGGAUUCUUUAGAGAGCAAAAGUAUCUCAGAUCCGUUUUUACUGGAGUCCCCACCACCACUUGCAUCAUUGCAGGCAUGUACAUAAUUGGUGGUGUAAGAGUUCCUGCUGGAUACUGUGGUGUUCGUGGAUUCAAAUCUUCCCCAUGGGGCUAUUUUCAAUCAAAGGGAUCAUACCAGUAUACGUGUGUGAACUAGAAGUUUGGGGUAGAAUAAAGUAAAUCUUAGAUAUACUAGGUUGUGAUUGUUAUAUACUUAUAUUGCAGAGAUGAUCCAUGUGACAAUUUACAUGUAGCACUAUUAUUUUUAUAUGAACGUUAUGUUGAUUCUGGUCAA